UGACUCGUUAGCUUGAAUAAAGAAAAUGGAGUAUUUAUCCGUCAAAACGUGAAAUUUAAUUAGAAUGUUUCCUCGUAUUUGCUUUAUAUAUGCAAUUGGAACCAUGAGAGCCAUUUCUAUAUCCUUUACACUUACUGGUGUCUCUAUAUAUCUUAAAAUAACACCACGCCUUUACUUAAACUAUCUACCAAAAUUCUUGUACACUAUCUACUAAAAUUCUUGUACUCAAUCAAAUUCACUAACAAUGCCAUCGCUGACUUCACCAGUGCCAAGCACUAGCAUAUAAAUGCUGUUCAUUUACUUGGAAGUCAGAAACUAGAACAAUGCUUUCUAAUAAUGGGAAAGAUGAAAAGAAGGAGAUUUGCUAUGAUAUGUUGUUAUCUCCUCCUUGCAAUUAUAAA
rnacentral:misc_RNA from 1 species